GACCUAGUGGCGGAGUGGUUUCGCGUCCGCAUAUCUUCAGAUUAUAUUUAUCUAGUUCUGUGGGAGACACCCGUUCGAUUCGGGUCUGGGUCA